AGCCCUGCCUGAAAGAUUGAGUACAACACCUAGUAGAGUGUGGAGCCACAUGCUCUGAAAGAUAGCUCCUACCCUCAUAGGCCUUGCAGCCCAAACAAAGUGGUUGAAAAGGACAGCAGGGUUGCAGCCUGACAGCUGAUUGAGGACAACUUGGCUUAAGUUUAUCCUACAGGUCUAGACCUGCCUGCCAUAAUCCAGAGCUGGUUACUGAACCCGCCUUGGCAGCUGGGCCAUCUCUACAAACAAAAGCUGUUUUGUUCAAACUCAGCUAGAACAGGCAGGGUUGCAGAUUGCAGCUUUCUUCAGUGGUCAUCCUGUUGAUUUGGAUCAAAAUUAAAUAAAAAAUAAAUUGUUAGAGAGUGAAGAGGUGUCAGAAAUCAGAUCUGUGUAUGUACCAUGGGCAGCUUAGUGUUAAAGCCUCAAGACUGAAGUCUAAUCCCAAAACAAAAUGUCAGAAGUAUUCUUCCUGCCAAAACUCUGAAUAGCUUCUUUUAUCACUGGGUCCUGUGAUUGUGUUGGCUCACAGGUGGAGUUGCACAAUGUACUGAGCAGCAGUAAAGAAGGACAACCUGAGCACAAGAAGAGCUUCUCAACUCCUGAAGAGGAAUAAAUACUUCAGUGGGGUUCCUUUGAGCCUGAGUUCUGACUGAAUUAUCUUUGUAUUUAUUUUAACAGUAAAACAAGUUGAAGGUUGAAAGAAAACCAACCUGCUUUCCCUGUUUUAAAGAGUAGAAAGAACCACAGAACAUGAAGUGAAGUUAAAAGGAACUCCUUGAAUGUUGUCAAGGAUUCCAGAAGUACUCUUUAAUUGCUGCUAAAGCCAAUGUGGCUGGAAUUUCUGUGGAAAACAACAGUGCAGUAGUCAGUUAGUACACAAUUACCUCCACUUUGAAAUAGAUUCCCCUUCCCCAAGCUUAUUCACCCUGUUCUCUAUGUUAAAAAAAUAUAAAUCCACGUUUAAUCUUGCACUUAACAUUGAAACAUUCAAAGAUGAUUUCUCAUAGCAGUGUGAGGAAUUGCAGAGUGGUAACUGUUUGGUGUUGCUCUGAGAACUGAUUGCUCGUUCUACCACCACCAUUGUUUGCUGUCGUUUUGA